GAUGAACGCUGGCGGCGUGCCUAAUACAUGCAAGUCGAGCGAACAGACGAGGAGCUUGCUCCUUCGACGUUAGCGGCGGACGGGUGAGUAACACGUAGGUAACCUACCUAUAAGACUGGGAUAACUUCGGGAAACCGGAGCUAGUACCGGAUAAUAUUUCGAACCGCAUGGUUCGAUAGUGAAAGAUGGCUUUGCUAUCACUUAUAGAUGGACCUGCGCCGUAUUAGCUAGUUGGUAAGGUAACGGCUUACCAAGGCAACGAUACGUAGCCGACCUGAGAGGGUGAUCGGCCACACUGGAACUGAGACACGGUCCAGACUCCUACGGGAGGCAGCAGUAGGGAAUCUUCCGCAAUGGGCGAAAGCCUGACGGAGCAACGCCGCGUGAGUGAUGAAGGUCUUCGGAUCGUAAAACUCUGUUAUUAGGGAAGAACAAACGUGUAAGUAACUGUGCACGUCUUGACGGUACCUAAUCAGAAAGCCACGGCUAACUACGUG
rnacentral:rRNA from 1 species